UUUCUGUAACGUAACUGUCUGCUGCGGUGCCACUCGAAGCGGCAGUAGCUUCAGGGGAUGGCUUACCAAAACACUGAAAGAGUGUAGUUUAAAUUUGCCUUUGUUUCAUAUUUCUAGCG